GACGAACGCUGGCGGCGUGCUUAACACAUGCAAGUCGAACGGAAAGGCCCUGCUUUUGUGGGGUGCACGAGUGGCGAACGGGUGAGUAACACGUGAGUAACCUGCCCUUGACUUUGGGAUAACUUCAGGAAACUGGGGCUCAUACCGGAUAGGAGCUCCUGCUGCAUGGUGGGGGUUGGAAAGAUUCGGCGGUUGGGGAUGGACUCGCGGCUUAUCAGCUUGUUGGUGGGGUAGUGGCUUACCAAGGCUUUGACGGGUAGCCGGCCUGAGAGGGUGACCGGCCACAUUGGGACUGAGAUACGGCCCAGACUGCUACGGGAGGCAGUAGUGGGGAAUAUUGCACAAUGGGCGGAAGCCUGAUGCAGCAACGCCGCGUGCGGGAUGACGGCCUUCGGGUUGUAAACCGCUUUCGCCUGUGACGAAGCGUGAGUGACGGUAAUGGGUAAAGAAGCACCGGCUAACUACGUG
rnacentral:rRNA from 1 species